rnacentral:miRNA from 1 species
AAUGGUAAAAUCAAGAUUCCUGGGGCCCUACCUCCAUAGUCUGAAUCAGAUGGAGCCCAGGAAUCUGUAUUUUAAAUGCAUUCCUGGUGAGUCUCAU